rnacentral:rRNA from 1 species
CCUACGGGAGGCAGCAGUGAGGAAUAUUGGUCAAUGGCCGAGAGGCUGAACCAGCCAAGUCGCGUGAGGGAAGACGGCCCUACGGGUUGUAAACCUCUUUUGUCGGGGCGCAAAGAGAGUCACGUGUGACUCAUUGAGAGUACCCGAAGAAAAAGCAUCGGCUAACUCCGUGCCCGCAGCCGCGGUAAUACGGAGGAUCCUAGCUUUCUCCGGAUUUAUUGGGUUUAAAGGGAGCGUAGAUGGGUUGUUAAGUCAGUUGUGAAAGUUUGCGGCUCAACCGUAAAAUUUAAAUUGAUACUGGCAGCCUUGAGUACAGUUGAGGUAGGCGGAAGUCGUGGUGUUGCGGUGAAAUGCUUAGAUAUCACGAAGAACUCCGAUUGCGAAGGCAGCCUACUAAACUGCCACUGACAUUGAUGCUCGAAAGUGUGGGUAUCAAACAGGAUUAGAUACCCCGGUAGUC